GAUGAACGCUGGCGGCGUGCCUAAUACAUGCAAGUCGAGCGAACAGACGAGGAGCUUGCUCCUCUGACGUUAGCGGUGGACGGGUGAGUAACACGUGGAUAACCUACCUAUAAGACUGGGAUAACUUCGGGAAACCGGAGCUAAUACCGGAUAACAUGUUGAACCGCAUGGUUCAACAGUGAAAGACGGUCUUGCUGUCACUUAUAGAUGGAUCCGCGCCGCAUUAGCUAGUUGGUAAGGUAACGGCUUACCAAGGCAACGAUGCGUAGCCGACCUGAGAGGGUGAUCGGCCACACUGGAGCUGAGACACGGUCCAGACUCCUACGGGAGGCAGCAGUAGGGAAUCUUCCGCAAUGGGCGAAAGCCUGACGGAGCAACGCCGCGUGAGUGAAGAAGGUCUUCGGAUCGUAAAACUCUGUUAUUAGGGAAGAACAAAUGUGUAAGUAACUAUGCACGUCUUGACGGUACCUAAUCAGAAAGCCACGGCUAACUACGUG
rnacentral:rRNA from 1 species